AAAUCCUACUAUAUAAAAGAAGCUAUUUUUGGAGCUUCUAAGGGAUGACACAUGGGUAGAAAUAUUCUCCACCACUCAAUCUGCCAUGUCAUUGUGAACUGGACUUCAGCCUAAUAAAUUGGAAAAAGAGGUUUGCCAUAACAAUCACGGCCUAGCCCAAUAUCUAUAAAGGAGAAGGAUUCUAUUCUCAUGCUGCCACGUCUUCAAGAAACAAAGAGCAAAUGAUGGCAGGUGUCCCUUUUUACUGAACUUUUCUCGGCAAAAAAUCAAUAUAACAAAUGGGCUCAAUAAAAACACUGCUAAUGAACAUAUGUAACAAUAAUCUCAGCCCAUUUAUUACCCAUUUUUUUAAUGUCUGUCUUCUCGAUUCCCUUUUCUUCUCCGCCGACGGAAUGUUUCUAAACUUUCCCACAACCCACCUUCCUCCACUAAUGUAAACCAUUAGUGCCCUAUUCAAUACUGAAACCAUGACCUCACGACCUCCUCUUCAGCUUCUCAUCUCUCUCUACAUAUACCUGAUGGCUGCUUUCAAAAUUGUAGUAUUCUCCGAGGAGAUAUUUGAGUGUCAUUAUGUCAAACUCAACACUUAUCACGAGAUCGACGAGACUCCCGGAACCACAAGGAGGAAGAAGAAAGGCAAACAAAUCCUCGGAUCAAGACGGAAGGAGGAGAAGUAUAUUAUGGCAGAGGAAGGCAUGUAUAUCCGUACGACCGAGCAUGGAUUGUGGUUUACUUCGCUUCUACAGGCGGUGACAAAGAAAGGAGCGAGCGAGAAGUGUGAGACUAUAACGGAGCGGUGUUCGGAGGUUAUGGAGGAUGUGAUGAGCUGGAGCGGAACUCAACUGUAUUGUUGUGGAGAUGAACAGGUUGGAUCUAAAGCUUUAUUAUGAGCAUAUCACAUGGAGCUCGGAUAAAGGUACUCUUUAUGACAGAAAAUCACCAUGAUUCCGCUGAUGUUUAAGGUUUCUAUGUGAAGCUCAAUAUUUCCAAAAUAUGGAGCAAUUUGGUUACUCGCUACAGUCUGCAAUGUGGUCCAUAUGAUGAAAGGAAAUUGAAUUUGGAGCUUGAAGUUUUAAUGAUAAGUGUCUGCAUUGAGCUUGAUUUUGAGGACCAGUUAGACACUGACACACUUAUAUGCAAGGUCUUCAUCAAGAAAUCAGUGAGAGAAGAAUCACUAACCACUUACGCGCAAGGUCUUCAUCAAGAAAUCAGUGAGAGAAGAAUCACAAAGGAGGACAAGGAAUCAGAGUUUGGCAGUUUGUGCAUAUGUAAUAUUUUAUCUAUGAUGAUAACAUUUACUUGGGAUAAUAUUUUAUGUAUGAGUAUAAACUAAUAUGUAAUGUUUGAUGUCUUAACUAUAUUCUCUACACUUCAAUCAUAUGGUAAGAUUGGCAGAUUAUGAAUGACAUACCAAAAGUUA